rnacentral:rRNA from 1 species
GAUGAACGCUAGCGGCAGGCUUAAUACAUGCAAGUCGAGGGGCAGCAUGACUGUAGCAAUACAGUUGAUGGCGACCGGCAAACGGGUGCGGAACACGUACGCAAUCUACCCAAAACUGGUGAAUAGCCCUCCGAAAGGAGGAUUAAUACACCGUAACCUAUUGAAGUGGCAUCACUUUAUUAGUAUAGCUCCGGCGGUUU